rnacentral:miRNA from 12 species
AGGUCCGAUAGUCUAUCUUUCU